rnacentral:rRNA from 1 species
UACGAGUGCUUCGAGCGUUAUCCGGAAUCAUUGGGCGUAAAGGGUGUGUAGGCGGUUAUGUUAGUCUUGUGUAAAAUUCUUCGGCUCAACCGGGGGCUCGCACGAGAAACGGCAUGACUAAGAGGAUGGAAGGGGACUCUGGAACUCAUAGUGUAGCGGUGAAAUGCGUUGAUAUUAUGGGGAACACCAAAAGCGAAGGCAAGAGUCUGGUCCACUCCUGACGCUGAAACACGAAAGCGUGGGUCGCGAAUGGG